GAUGAAGAACGCAGCGAAAUGCGAUACGUAAUGUGAAUUGCAGAAUUCAGUGAAUCAUCGAAUCUUUGAACGCAUAUUGCGCUCUCUGGUAUUCCGGAGAGCAUGCUUGUUUGAGUAUCAGUAAACACCUCAACUCCCUUUCUUCUUGAAAUGGAGCUGGACUUGAGUGAUCCCAACGCUUUAUUCAUAAAGUGGCGGGUUACUUGAAAUGCAGGUGCAGCUGGACUUUUCUCUGAGCUAUAAGCAUAUCUAUUUAGUCUGCCUCAAAACAGAUUAUUACCUUUGCUGCAGCUAACAUAAAGGAGAUUAGUUCUUGUGCUGACUGAUGCAGGAUUCACAAAGUCCGCUUCGGCUGUCUUUGUAAACUCGAUCUCAAAUCAAGUAAGACUACCCGCUGAACUUAAGCAUAUCAAUAAGCGGAGGA
rnacentral:misc_RNA from 1 species